rnacentral:lncRNA from 1 species
GCCAGUAGGGAUGGGUCGCGUCGGCGCCGGGCUCGGCGUUGAUGGAGCGCAUGGCCUCGUCCACAAAGGCGGGCCUGUGCAGCGCCGCGGCGCCCUUGAGCGGCCACUCGACGCGCCGGCCCUCGAUGCCCUCGAGAGCCAACACGAUAUGGCCCAGCGCGAGCACGCCCUCCUCGACCAUGAGCGUGGUACCUUCGGCGAGCGCCGCCGCGUCCUGCGGAUCGGCCCCCUCUCCCUCGAUCGGUUGUUGUUGUUGUUGUGUCUCUGCCGACUGGUGUGCCUCUUCCUUGUCGAGGUCGGCUUCCUCGCUUUGCGCCUGCUCAAUGUCGGCGGGCGUGACGCCGUUGGCCCACACCUCGGACGCCACACGCGCCAGACCGGCAAAUGUGGCCACGGCACGCUGGGCGUCGAUCCGACCGUGUGCCUCGAUGGCGGCCGCGGCCGCGGCCUUGCGUGCCGACGGCGCCGGCUCGGCGAUCGAGGCCGCCCACGCGACCGAGUCGGUGAGGAGCGCGUGGCCGCCCAUUUCGUCAAAGGCCGUCUCUGUCGUCAUGGAGGCCACCAGCGGAUCGAGGUCGACCUCGAUCGACUUGAUGCUGGCGUCGGCCACGAGGCGGCUCUUGGGCCACGAGGCCGUCGCCGCCACGACCGCGGCCAGGUGCGCGCGCGCCUCUUUGUGCUUGCCUGCAGCAACGUUGGCCUCCCACAUGGCCAUGGAGGCGAGCACGGCCGAGAGGCCCAUGGGCGACGCCAGUCCAAUGUCCUCGACGCACGCCGUCGCCAGCGAGGCAAACACGCCCACGCCGUCGCCGCUACGGUCGCGCUCGACGGCGACACGUACGGCGUCGACCUGGUGUCCGUGGCGCACGCAGGUGCGCAGUGCGCACGCCAUCUCGGUCGCGUCGUACCAGUUGGCCGUGAGGGCCGGUGGCGUCGGCUCGUCGGCCGGCGCCGGGCGCUUCUUCUUGGCCGCUGUGCUCAUUCGGCUGGUGGUUUGCACACGUGCAGACAGGCAAUGGAUGGAGAGAAGCGAAAAAAGUAGAGGAGACGGGAGAAAAAAAGGCGGUCGUGUCUGUGCGGUCCGUCGGUCGGUCGAAAAGGGCGACGGCAGGCUCCUGCUCUCUUGCUCGCUCGCUCUUGAGUUGGAGAGGCUCUUGUUUGUCGGAUCGGGGGCUUGGCGGCGUUUGUUCUAGUUUGCUGUCGUCGUGCCCCUAGUCUCUUGUGGGCGUCGCCUCUCUUUUUUUUCCUCCUUUCCUUGUGUGUGUAUGUGGCCCUGAUGCGCUCCCUCGCCUUUGUUGGUCUUUUUCUACAGGCCUCGCUUUCCGGUCCCCUCUGGCGGCGUGCAGCCUGUUCCUUUUGUCUCUUGCCGGCUCUUUUUUUUUCCUCCUUUUCGUCCCUUGGGCGCGCAGACAGACACCUGGGCGCGGUUCUUUGGGGCACGGUGCGCG